GCGAGAAAACUUUGCAAUGUGCGAAAGCACGACAAGGUUAAUCCGAGUGGUUUCUGCUAAAGAAACCUUUUGUCAGUCCUAGAAACACUAACGAAUAAGGGUGGGCAAGUUCUGGUGUCAGCCGCCGCGGUAAAACCAGCACCUCAAGUGGUCAGGAUGAUUAUUGGGCCUAAAGCAUCCGUAGCUCGUUUUGUAAGUUUUCGGUUAAAUCCAUGCGCUUAACGUAUGGGCUGCCGGGAAUACUGCAUAACUAGGAAGUGGGAGAGGUAGACGGUACUCGGUAGGAAGGGGUAAAAUCCUUUGAUCUAUUGAUGACCACCUGUGGCGAAGGCGGUCUACCAGAACACGUUCGACGGUGAGGGAUGAAAGCUGGGGGAGCAAACCGGAUUAGAUACCCUUGUAGUCCCUGAGCGGGCUGGCAAGGCGCAU
rnacentral:rRNA from 1 species